GAGCUGCGGCGGUCCUGCCAGGUGUGGAGUGCAAUCAGUGAAUCUUUCCAGGUGACCACGCCUCCACGCACCAAACGAGCCCCAGUAUGGAGCAAUGGCGAGUUGCUGGACCUCAUCAGUGUUUGGGGGGAGGAAGCUAUGCAGUCCCAGCUGCG